GUUACUGAAAAACCCAACAAAACGGCUAUAAAAGCAGAGACUUCGUCAUCUUCAAUUCCUCAUUCUUUCACUCCUAAACUCUAUUUCCUGCUUCUUAAUUUCUCUGUUUAUUAUAUCAAUAUAAAUCAGAGGAAUAUGGCAACAUUAAAAAUCUUGAAACUUACCUUGUUCACCAUUUUCACUCUGAUUUAUUUAGUAGCUACUAAAACCACAGCUCAAGAAGGCGAUUUUGCUCCGGCGCCGGCUCCGGGAAUGGACGCCGGAGCUGGGUUUCAUGACACUUUGUCAAGUGCCUUGAUUUGUUCUUCUCUCUUCUUAUCUUUUAUCGGUUUCCUCUUGUAUUAAUUUUAUUUGAACACCAGUGGAGUAUUAUAUUUUAAUUUAGUUUUUGGGCCUUCAUAUUAUUAGCUGAGGUCAUAAGGUAUCUGUUUCUUGUACUGCUGUGAUGUAUGGGUAUGGAUUAUCUUUAUCCAAUUUCCUUAAUAUUAUUAGCUGAGGUCUUAAGGUAUCUGUUUCAUGUACUGCUGUGCUGUAUGGGUAUGGAUUAUCUUUAUCCAAUUAAGAUGAGUAAAUUUUAUUUUGUUUUAGAUUUUCCCAUUGCUCUGUUUCCCAAUAAUUGGAAUGUAGCGUGCAAAGGAAAUUCAGAGUAUUUUUUAUUAUGUAACCUUUUACCUAUUGCAGAUUGAAUGUCAACAUUUCGUAUGAUUGAGCACUGAAUAUUUUUAAAAAAGAAAUAAUUAAAAGAAGAAAACCGUUGAGAGUUUAGAUCAAAUCAUCUUGAAAUAAAAUAUUCUCUUGAACACUAUUAUAUUUUGA
rnacentral:lncRNA from 1 species